UACGGAGGGUGCAAGCGUUGUUCGGAAUUACUGGGCGUAAAGGGCGCGUAGGCGGGUAUGUAAGUCGAUUGUGAAAUCCCCGGGCUUAACCCGGGAACUGCAGUCGAAACUGCGUAUCUUGAGUGCUUGAGAGGGUGAUGGAAUUCCUGGUGUAGAGGUGAAAUUCGUAGAUAUCAGGAGGAACACCGGAGGCGAAGGCGGUCACCUGGUGAGACACUGACGCUGAAGCGCGAAAGUGCGGGGAUCAAACAGG
rnacentral:rRNA from 1 species